rnacentral:rRNA from 1 species
UCUGGAAACCAUAGAGCUGUGGCACCACCUGAUCCCAUUCCGAACUCAGAAGUGAAACACAGUAUCGCCGAUGGUAGUGUGGGGUCUCCCC